CUAGUGGAAUGCGGAUCUCUAUUUUUCCGGAGCUGCCACAGCCAUCGGGAUUUGAGCUGAGAAACUGGAUCCUUCCUCGCUGAAACACUGCCCUGCCUGUCGAAUUAAAGGCAGGGAUGUGUUUUUACCAGAAACUGCCUCAAAAUAAUUUGUAUUUUACCUAGARUACAUUUCACAAUAUAGGCUCACAUCUGGAUUCGUCACUGCACAGGCUGAAUACGACAUAUGAUGAAAUUUGCCUAAUGCUCGUCCUCUCUCACUUUGAUACAUUCAUUGUAGUUUAGAGUGGAAACUAAUUUACAUUCCGACAACGUGAGUACAUAGAGGCAAACACAUAGCCUACCGUUAGAUGCAUACGACAAAUUAAAUGAGAAUAUAUUUUUUUGGGGGGGGGGGAGACUCAGCACAGAUAGGUGAUGGCUUUCGAGUUUUAGAAGCUGGCGAAAUCAGAUMUACAAGACCAAGGGAAAGAGUAAAGGCUGAGAGGGGCUCAGACGUGACUUUCUUCARAGCGGACACAAUACCUUGAACGACACAAAAGCUUUCAAAUCAAAUACUGUCAUAAAGUCAAAUACCAAGGUGUCUACUCCUUCCUGAACAACAGUGUGUUGGUGUCUCAGGGGGACAGAGAUCAGGAAAAAAGUAGAUAGGGAGCAGGAGAUAUAGGAGCUACAGGGGCCACGGUGUCUAUCUGCUCCUCUGUUCCCCUGUGAGGCUGUCUUUGUGUCAGGGAUCGAGAGGUGGACACACACAUACAGCCAAGGACUGGCUAACAGCAGGACUAAACCACUCUGAAGGGCCACUGGGCAGAAGGUUGGCAUCUGGCUGGCAGAGAGCAGGCACUGUGGUGGGCAGGCGACCGCAGCAUCGAGAUUACAGAUUAGGCAGAACAGCAGGUCAGGGCACAUUAUCCUGACACAAUCUGUAGUUCCACCAACACCACACCGCAGAAUUCAAUUAAACCCUACUGCUCCUGCUACUGGCAGGCAGUGGCCCAGCCUCACACACAUACACAUAUACACAAAUAAUCUCCACUGCUGGACAGCUACUGAGCCCCUCCUCCCUUCCCUGCUGUCCUGUUUGACGAUCAGCGCCAGAUGGAGUGAUGGGAUUUUUUGAUUUUGAUUGGUUUAUCUUUUUUUUAAAUCCAGUCACUKAUUGCCUCACGGUUCCUUGGAGAUCAUUCAUUGGUAAGCUGUUUUAAGGUCCUCAUAUCUACUUUUCUUAAGAUUCUGGGUCAAUCCCCUUUGUCAUUAUGGUCAGAAUGCUUUGAUUACUUUGGGGGUUUUACCGUAUUCUGUUUUUACUCGGGCUGAAAACCACUGGAAUUUAGACAGAGAACCUGGACCCAAGGCAUUAGAAGGGCUGGAAGAUGCUCAGUCUGCCAACACAGGGACACACACCACUCCCAGCCUCAAUGAGAACCACACCACAGAGCACCAGACCCUGUGUUUCAGAGGAGAACACAAGGUCCUGAGUAUCUCUGCUAGUCUCAGAAUCUCUGAAGUGGUUCUACUGACAGAAAAAAAGCUUGAGCGAGACAGGGGCAAAGAGGUGAAAAGGAAGGAGAAGAGAGAGCGAGACAAAGGGAGGCAGGAAGACGUGUUAUUUGUUCAGGAUGACGAGAGACUCGAUGGAGCUUCUUUCACAUCAGCCUCCCAGCAGUCUCUACCCUCUUUCUCCCAUCUAGCUUGCUAGAGCACAUCACUCAGAAGACUGCUUCAGCAUUUCACAGAGGACUCCAAACGCAAGGAGCGGACUAACCACUUGGACGACUGAGAUGACACUAAUGACUCAGUACCUGAAUUUUACCAUGGAUAUCACUGUAGGUGGAUACGACUGCUAACCAAGGUUAACACAGCGUGAUAGGCUCUGACAGGUUCUCAGACUAACAGUGUACAAUUUGUGUUGAGUUCGUCAGUUUUUUAUGUGCAGACACUCUGCUGGAGCUCCCAUCCAGGACUUGAGCAGUGCUGUGUGUGGAAAGUCGGGGCUGGGUGGAAGGUGUGAAGAGCGGCAGCCACGUGUGGAGAGACAGAAAGUGAAGGGAGCAACACGCAACUCUGGGAGAAACUGUUUAGUGUGAGACACUGAGAGACACUGUGGGGCGGCGGCUCUCCCUCUCUCUGUUUGACGGACUGGAAGAGUGUUCUCUCUGAGCCAGCGUGAGCCAGCCUGCACGCUGAGUGGAGCUGAGGCCAGUAGGGUGGGGACAGUGGCAGGGAGCGGUGCAUGGC